CAGGCCCCGUCAUUAUGUAAAGCGUGCGCGCCUGGGAGGGGCUGUGCCUUUUGGAGGUUUCUGUAUGGGAGUAACUGGGCAGGCAGGCGGGAGGUUUGGGGAGAGGGGGGGGGAAGGCAAGAGACGUUGCAGCUGUCGAAGGGGAGAGGCGAGAGAGUUGGGAAACUCGAGGAAAGAGGCCAGGGCUACCCCUUCCUCCUCCUCCUCCUCCUCCUCCUUGUCUCUCUGAAAAGCCAUCCCUUCUGAAGUCUGGUAUUCCUUGGGAGAGCCUGGAAACCCAGAGAGAAGAGAGAGAGAGAGAGAGCAAAGUUGAGAUGAGCUGAUUUACCAACUCCUAAAGAAAUAAACCCUUGCGCCUCUGAACAUCCAGGGGAAACAAAUGCAACACAAAUGCGACAGAAAGUUUCCUGCUUAGAAAGAUGAUAUGGAUAUGAAUUUUCUUCUCCGCCAGGUAUUUUUCCUGACACCCGGAUUGUGACCAAAGGCACUAACUGAUCGGAUCUCUUGGGAUCCUGAAGCUAAAAGAAGAAAGAAGCUAAAUCCAGAGGUUGAAUAGGAACUGCACAAAAGCCACUUUACUUGGUGGCAGAAAAUCUUCAAUCCCUUCCUUACUUUGAAUUAUUAUUAAAGACUUUUACAGAUCCGAUCGGAAAAAGGAUUGAUGACUUGGGCAGCUGUUAUCAAAAAAGUACUGGAGAAAUAUGGGCCAAAGGACUGUGACAUAAAAAAAAAUUGUGCAGAACUGAUCCUUCUAUAAAUAUGCAUCCAUUUCCCAAAGCUCGAGAGGGACGAAAUCGUCACCCGGGACGUGAGACGACUUUGGACGACAAGAUGCUUCCUGAUUCGGGACAACCGGGCGACCCCUUGCACCGAAAAGAUGUGCAUCCCCGCUCCUUCCUUUCCACGAACGUCAUUACAAUAGGUAAAUCGAUUCUAUAUUACGCCCAUAUUAUUCUGUUUGUUUUUAAUCCGGGUGAAGAAAACCCGAGGAAGCAUUUCUGGCAUAAAUCAAUUUGUUUUUGUUUUUUUAAUCCUCUCCUAUUGGGGGCAGCCGAGGGAGUGGUGCGGUGGCCUAAGAGGCGGAGCUCUCGCCUC